AGCGAACGCUGGCGGCAGGCCUAACACAUGCAAGUCGAACGAACCUUUCGGGGUUAGUGGCGGACGGGUGAGUAACACGUGGGAACGUGCCUUUAGGUUCGGCAUAACUCAGGGAAACUUGUGCUAAUACCGAAUGUGCCCUUCGGGGGGAAGAUUUAUCGCCUUUAGAGCGGCCCGCGUCUGAUUAGCUAGUUGGUUGAGGUAAUGGCGCACCCAGGCGACGAUCAGUAGCUGGUCUGAGAGGAUGAUCCGCCACAUUGGGACUGAGACACGGCCCAAACUCCUACGGGAGGCAGGAGUGGCGAAUCUUGCGCAAUGGGCGAAAGCCUGACGCAGCCAUGCCGCGUGAAUGAUGAAGGUCUUAGGAUUGUAAAAUUCUUUCACCGGGGACGAUAAUGACGGUACCCGGAGAAGAAGCCCCGGCUAACUUCGUG
rnacentral:rRNA from 1 species